rnacentral:rRNA from 1 species
AGCUCAAAUUUGAAAGCUGGCGUCUUCGGCGUCCGCGUUGUAAUCUCGAGACGUGUUUUCCGUGCGGCUCUAUGGACAAGUCCCUUGGAACAGGGCAUCGUAGAGGGUGAAAAUCCCGUACUUGCCAUGGAAGUACCGUGCUUUGUGAUACACGCUCCAAGAGUCGAGUAGUUUGGGAUUGCUGCUCAAAGUGGGUGGUAGACUCCAUCUAAAGCUAAAUAUCGGGGAGAGACCGAUAGCGAACAAGUACCG